GGGAGUGAGAGAGCUCUUAUCGCCUCCCCACCCUCUGUCAUUUCCUUCGUCCUUCUCCAUCAUCACAGCAUCACUAGCGAAGGCCUCAAAUCUGCUCCGACACUGGUGCGAGCAAAAACUUCGGCCAUCACCAUUGAGCUUCCUCCCUCUCUAUUCAGCCACAGAGGUUCUCUACUCUUUCCGAACAACAAGAAGAUUCAGGUGCGUCGCCGUUCUGGUGUGGCUAUGCGAGUGCGUAGACAUUUUUCCCCUCCUUCUUAAGCUCGCAGCUGCUUCUAUUUUCUCUGCUCCAGCCAUCACUCCUUCUCGUCCGUUCAAGCUGCUGCAGGGGUGUGUGAAAAUCUUCCACUCCCCUGCGUUGCGUCGCCGUCGUUCACUGCUGUAGGAGCCUCAUCGAACACCCAGCUUCUUCCUUCAGUGACUCAUGUCGUCACUAUUCUUCUCCCAUGUAUUGCUGUUGCUGAUCUAGCUUGAGGGAGGGAUCUGAAAUUUUCUCCCUGUUUCGUUGUAUUGCUUAAAGGUAAUAGAGGAGUUUGAAGAUAAUUGAGAGGUCUAUAAGGAAUAAGCUAUUAUCUUGGGAGUUUAUCAGGAGGUGCUAGCCCUGUACGAUGGCCAACGCAUGUGGAAUGGAGGGACGGUUAUUCAUGAGCAUCGUACUCACGUUUGUUUCAUGGCUUCAAUCGCGUUUGGUUAGUUACCCUCAUGGACUGUGUGUCCAUGUCUGUUUCGUGGCUUCGGUUGCAUUUGGUUACUUAUUCUCAUGGACUGUGUGUCCACAUUUGUCCUCGUGGCAUGGGUCACAUUUGGUUAUUUACCCUCGUGAACUGUGUGUCCAUAUUUAUUAAUUGUUCUGAUAAGUUCUUAUAAUGAAAAAUUUGAUAAUUUAGUCAUUUUAUA